rnacentral:lncRNA from 1 species
UAUAUAUAUAUAAAUGUAGAGAAGAGUACAUAUACAUCUAAAAAUAUCAUAUCUAGAUUUCUAAAAUUAAGUGAAAGAUCAUUUUUCAAUCAUUUUCUAAAUAAGGUAGAUUAUACAUUCCCUUUUUAAUUUAGAAGAGUUGUAAAAUUAUAAUUUAUUUUCCAUUAAUAAAUUUGAAAAUAUUAAUAAAAUGAAUGAUUUUAGAAUGUUAUAUAUUACAAAACAGAUAAAGAAAAUAUAAAACCUUAUUAAAUCAAUAAUCAUAAAAGAAAACUACAGCUCUUAAACAACUGAUUCAAAAACAGGAUCUGGGCUCAAUUUUUUUUUUUACAAAAUCUUGCUCUGUUGCUCAGGCUGGAGUGCAGUGGUGCAAUAUUGGCUCACUGCAACCUCCGCCUCCUGGGUUCAAGGUUUAACAUUCUAGAAAACUCCCGCAGGCCUAAGGAGGAAUUUCAUUGUCAUGUGCAAUUGGUAGCACGGGCGGAUCUUGAAGUGCUGUCAUUGACAGCUUCAUGUUUUUGACACUCCUUUGCUGCCUGGGGAAGCAGGGAAUUCACCUCUGCACCCACAGCAGCUUUUACUACCUUCAUCACCAUUUCAUCAACAGCAUCGGACACAGCUCGUCACUCCCUUCUGGAGAACAUUUCUCCACUUGGCUUUACACAUGCCACUCUCUUGGGUUUCCUUCGACCUCAAAACCCAAUGGUGCCUCUUUUGCCAAUGGUGCCUCUUUGUUGUAAGGACCCAGUCCAAGUCCUUACAACAGCCUACAAGACUGCGCUUGAUUCUGCAUCCCCCAAUCUACUUCUCUAACUUUCUCUGCCACCAUUUCUACCCUAGCCUUAUUGGACUCUUCGCCAUAUUGCCCAGGCUGGUCUCCAGCUCCUGAGCUCAAGCAAUCUACCUGCCUUGGCCUCUCAAAGUGCUGGGAUUACAGGAGUGAGCAGCCUGCCUGGCCUUUAUUUAUUUUUUAUCUAACUCAUUACCAGCUUCUAACUCAAUACCAGCUAACAUACUCUAUUUUUUAUUUUUUUAAAACCUAUUUGUUUAUUUCCCACUAGCCUGCAAAUUUCUAAGGGCAGAGAUUUCAUCUGUUAAAUUCCAGGUUGUUUAUACAGCUCCUAGAGCCAUGCCUGAUGUAUAACACAUGCCCAGUAAAUAUUUGUUGAAUGAGUGAUGUCCUUGAAUAUUGAAAUUGAUAUGUCUGAAGUUUCUACAAUUUCUUAAAUGAGUUUAUUUCUAAGGAAAUAAUCCCCUUUAUCUUAAGUCAUUGAAUUUUUUACUCUGACAAUUUUUGGGUUUGCCUUUCUAGAGGAGUUAUGUGGGUGUCUGUUUCAAAGAUUUUAGGUCAAGGUGAGAGAAAAAGAGACUAGUUUGAAUUUGUUGGAGGUUUAUUUUAUUCACAUACUCAUGUAGUCCCCUCCCAUCUUGUACCAGGGUUAACCUGUGGGACCAAUUACAUACAGCAGAAGUGAGGCUGUCCUUCUUAUGAGAUUAGGCAUAAAAGACUGGCUUCCUUCUUGAGCACUGUCUUGUCUUGCGUGCUCUCUCUCUCUCUCCCUCAGAUCACUUGUCCUAUGGAAUGUCAGCUGCCAUAUUGAGAGCAUACUCAAGCAGCCCAUGGAGUGACCCAUGGGAUAAGAAACAGACAAAUUUUCCUUCUUUCCUUUUCCCAUAACCUGUGUGCUACCUCUUCUGGAAGCCCCAAGCCCCUUAUUCUUUCUGUAGCCUCAGGAUAGCAUAAAAAUUCCACUCAACUGUGGCUCACUCCUGUAAUCCCAGCACUUUGGGAGGUCAAGGCAGGUGGAUCACUUGAGCUCAGGAGUUCAAGACCAGCCUUGGACAAUUACUUAAUACAGUAUUUCUUUUGUUAAAUAAUUUUUAAUUUUAAGGAUUUUAAGGAUUCCCCAAACAGAGAGAUACACUUUUUUUUUGUUUGUUUGGUAAUUGGAGGUUGUGCACAGGGAGAGGAUAGAUUCUUGCAUUCAUUUUAGUUCACAAUAGAAUCCAUCAGUUGGCGGGAAUUGUUAGGGACCACAGGUGUGCGCCACCAUGCCCUGCUAAUUAAAAAAAAAUUUUUUUGUAGCGAUGGGGUCUGCUAUGAUGUCCAGGCUGGUCUCAAAGUCCUGGCCUCAAGUGAUCCUCCCACCUCGGCCUCCCAAAGUGCUGGGAUUACAGGCAUGAGCCACCACACCUGGUCUCAUGUCUUGUCAUUUAAGGAGACAAUCCAGGUAGAAGUGGUUCCUCUGUGGGAUACUGGGAAUUAUACAAUCUAUAUAUAUUGGUCUUCUUCCCGUUUCCUGACAGAGGGUUCCUAAGACUCAUGGAAUCUCCAGCAUGAUAAGAGUAUCUUCUGUAUGCUAAUGUGAAGAUAGGUGGCCGGGGGCCACUAGGCAACUUCAGGAUGGCGGCUGGUCGCUGGGUAGGCCAAGGCACGAUUAGAAAGUUGUGACUUUCAGCCCCUCCCCCUGCCUCUGGGGAUGGGAGAGGGGGUGAAGGUUGUUGAGUUAAUCACCAAUGGCCAACAAUGUGAUCAAUCAUGCCUAUGUAAUAAAGCCUCCAUACAACCCUAAAAGGACAGG